rnacentral:rRNA from 1 species
UACGGAGGGUGCGAGCGUUGUCCGGAAUCACUGGGCGUAAAGGGCGCGUAGGUGGCGAAGCAAGUCAACGGUGAAAGCUCGACGCUCAACGUCGAGUCGGCCGUCGAUACUGCAUCGCUCGAGCACUGUAGAGGCAGAUGGAAUUCCGGGUGUAGCGGUGGAAUGCGUAGAGAUCCGGAAGAACACCGGUGGCGAAGGCGGUCUGCUGGGCGAGUAGCUGACACUGAGGCGCGACAGCGUGGGGAGCAAAUAGG